rnacentral:rRNA from 1 species
UACGUAGGUGGCAAGCGUUGUCCGGAAUUAUUGGGCGUAAAGCGCGCGCAGGUGGUUUCUUAAGUCUGAUGUGAAAGCCCACGGCUCAACCGUGGAGGGUCAUUGGAAACUGGGGAACUUGAGUGCAGGAGAGAAGAGUGGAAUUCCACGUGUAGCGGUGAAAAUGCGCAGAUAUCAGGAAGAACACCGAUGGCGAAAGGCAGCUCUCUGGGACGGUACUGACGCUGAGACGCGAAAGCGUGGGGAGCGAACAGG